AUAAAUUCGAGAGGGAAGGUGAGUGCCACUUAUUUACAGCCAUCAGCUUUUGCAGUAAGUCUGUAAUUGGCUGCUGUUGUUCCACGACUUUUCAAGUAGAAAAUCAUUAAAGUGUUAAAGAAUCGCCUGUUUUUAUCAUAUUUUUUCUGAGAAACAACCAGCAGUUUCUUGUUAAAGUAUCGUGUGAUCUGAUGUGAGUGGUAUUAACAAUUUAACAUGCAUAUUUGUGUCGCUGUAAUUAUUAUCGAGUUUUAAAUAUUUGUGCAAUAUGGCAACUUUAGAUUACGCUUGUUUUAGCCCAGUAAUUUACAUAAUAUUUUUCAAAUACAACUUUGGUACUCUGUGAGUAUAAAUAGGCCGGUUUUUAUGUGAUAUUUACUAACAUAAGCACCUUUUUUACAGGUUUGUUUGAUACUCUUAAGCCGAAUUAAAUCUGAAGCGUGUUAGCGAAGCGAAGGACGAACUUGUGGCGAAAAAGAUGCCGCCUGUUCCUGGGGAAGGCUCAGACGUCAAGGCAUUUGUCGAAGAGGCUAUAAAAUCGCAUACUGUGACGGUUUUUGCUUUUUCAACAUGUCCUUUUUGCAAGAAGG